UACGUAGGGGGCAAGCGUUGUCCGGAUUUAUUGGGCGUAAAGAGCGUGUAGGCGGUUAGGUAGGUCCGUUGUGAAAACUCGAGGCUCAACCUCGAGACGCCGAUGGAAACCAUCUGACUAGAGUCCGGAAGAGGAGAGUGGAAUUCCUGGUAUAGCGGUGAAAUGCGCAGAUAUCAGGAAGAACACCCGUGGCUAAGGCGGCUCUCUAGUACGGUACUGACGCUGAGACGCGAAAGCGUGGGGAGCGAACAGG
rnacentral:rRNA from 1 species